UACGUAGGGUGCGAGCGUUGUCCGGAAUUAUUGGGCGUAAAGAGCUCGUAGGCGGUUCGUCGCGUCGAAUGUGAAAACCCGGGGCUCAACUCCGGGCCUGCAUUCGAUACGGGCGGACUAGAGUUCGGUAGGGGAGACUGGAAUUCCUGGUGUAGCGGUGAAAUGCGCAGAUAUCAGGAGGAACACCGGUGGCGAAGGCGGGUCUCUGGGCCGAUACUGACGCUGAGGAGCGAAAGCGUGGGGAGUGAACAGG
rnacentral:rRNA from 1 species